rnacentral:lncRNA from 1 species
GUGAUAAUGAAGGCUGUUAGAUUAAUUUGCCAAGAAAGUAAGGAAUUCCUAGGAAAUGGAAUUAUUUUGCCUCAAACAACAGAGGCUAGGAGACGCUGAGGAGUAUUUUGUGAUGAUGCUGAGUAGUUUAGAGAUUUUAUCCUCAGCAAGUUUCCCAUCAGCUAUUCAUUUAGAAUGAACACUAUUGGCUGGCUUAUACACUGCUUUUGAACCACGUGUUAAAUUACAUGAAUGGACACCUUUCUCUGUGUGUGAGUAGUUGUUAAGAGCUUGGUUUUUGAAGCCAAAAUGACCAACGAGAUUCAGAUCUUGGCUCUGCCAUUUAUUAACAGCGACUUUGGGCAAGUGACUUCACCUGUCUGUGCCUCAUCUGUAAAUCAGGAACAAUAAUAACACCAAUUCAUAGCCAGCCUGGCUUGCCACAGUCCACCUACUGGUAUUCACACCCACGUGUUGUUCCCUGCUAUGUAGUACCAGGUAUUUUUGUGUGACCCGUAGAACACAGCAGAAGUGGUGGUGUGCCACUUCUGAUAUUAGGUUAUAAAAGAUAUUGCAUCUUCAAUUUUGUUCUCUUUCUUUCUUCUUUGUCUUUCUGUCCUUUAUCUUUUUUUUCCCUCUCUCUCUCUUUCUGAUCACUUGCUUUAAGGGAAGCCAGAUGUCAUGUGUGGCGAGGCAGCCUAGAGAGAGGUCCCUAUGGUGAGAAACUGGGGCCCCGCUAACAGCCACCUAAGUGAGCUUGGAAGUGGAUCCUCUAGCACCUUAGGACUGCAGCCCUGGCCAGUAGUUUGACUGUCUCCUCAUGAGAGAACCUAUGCCAGAAUCACCAACUAAGCCUUUCCCAAAUUCCUGACCCACAGAAACUGUGAACUGGCCAUCUUGCCUGUUUUCAUAAAAGUCUGAAAUACGGAGGAGACCCUGAUUUAUAUUUUCCAUAGAAGAGAAGAGAGAUUGAGAUGACUCUCUUGCAGUGAGGUAUGGCGUGUCCUCUCCAUGACAAUGUGAGGGAAAGUGAUGUAUGCCACUUCCAGGUUCUAUGGAACCCUGGAAUGAAGAGGAUGCCAACCUUGAAAAGCUAUUCUAGUUCUUUCAAUGUGCCAUAAUGGUAUAGGAGCAAAUGUUUCUGCUGAGGUGAGGACACCAUGUUCCUCUACUGUUGUGGAUGCAGCCCUCACCAGACGACCGAACCUGCCAGUGCCUUGUUCUUGGACUUCCUAGCCUUCAGAACUGUGAGUAGUCUAUUUCUGUUAUUUGUAAAUUACCUAGUUCCAGGUGUUCUGUUAUACCAGUGCAAAAUGGAUGAAGAUGGGGAAAUAUCUAGGGAUUAAAUUGAUG